GGCGAGGGCGGGCGGCGCGGGAGCGGAAGGCAGGAAGUGCCGCGGCGCGGGGAGCGAGGAGCUAGGCGAGCGGGGCGGAGCGGGUGGAGCUGGAUCUCGCGGGAAGCGCGGGGACGCCCGGCACCGCCUCCCCGCCCUCCGCGCCCACCCCCUUCCCCGCCGCCCCGGACCGACCGCGGGGGGGCGCUGCGGCCUGCGGGACGGGCCAGCGCUCGGGCUUCCGGUGACCCGUGGGCAGGGAUGUGGUGCCAGGCAGCUGCGCCCGGUGGGAAGCGAUUUGUUGCUUAUAAAUAAUAACUGGUUUUGUGUUGUUCUAGUAAGGUAAAAAUAACUCACUUUUUUUUUUCCGCGGAAACUGAAAAAUACAGGAAACUAGAAAUCACCUUACUCCCCCAGCACCUGGAGAGAUUCGCAGAGUAGCACCAGGAGUAAGCAGAAAAAAAGGCUGUGACCCAGGGGCAUAGGCAGAGCCAGGACCUGCAGCUGGAUGAUGCUUCCAGCAAGUGGGUGAAGACAAAGAAAAGAGAACCAAGGACAGUGCCCUGGGCUCUCCAAGAAAAACGGAAACUCAUGAGGAACAGCUGAAUUGGUAGGAGGAAAACCAAACCCGUAUGGUAUUCUGAAAGCCAACGGAAGAGAGUGUAACUCACUGUUGGUUUAGUGUGCAUUUCUCUUCAUGUGUAUUGGCUGUUUGAAUCCUAUAGAUUUUCUAGUCAUGUCCUUUGCCCAUGUGCUUCCUAUAUGUGUCUUUUUGUUGACUUUCAAGAGCUCUUCACCUCUGAACGUAACAUCUUUGUUAUUGUAAACAUAUUCUCCCAGUCUGCCACUUGUCUUGUAACUUAGCCUAAGAAGUCUGAGAUAUGAGAAAUCUUUAAUCUUUAAGUAGAGAGUAUUAUGCUAAGUGAAAUAAAUCAGACAAAGACAAAUACCAUAUGAUUUCACUUAUAUGUGGAAUCUAAAAAACAAAAACAAAAUUUUCCCUGUAUUGCUUCUGGGUUUUGUGUCUUACUUAGAGUCUUUUCCUACCCCUUGAGAUAUAAAAAAUAUUGUUCUCCUCAGUCUCAUAAAAAAUAUUGUUCUAAUCACAAGGUCCAGAAGAAAAUGUGGGAGACUUUUCCUAUAGGAGCCAGAUAAGUGCUUGGCCCAUAAUGGAUGUAUGGUCCCUGUGCAAAGGGGAAUGUAGUGCCGCCUGGCUGAGGACUCCUUCCCAUGCAUCUUCAGGAAACUACCGUAUUUGCCGGCGUGUAAGACGACUGGGCGUAUAAGACGACCCCCUAACAUUUCCACUCAAA